AAACUUGUGGAUUUUUGUCUCUAAGUUUACAGAAUUUGAUGCCAGAAAGUUGCACAAACUAUAUAAACAUGCAAUCAAAAAACGCCAAGAAUUUCAGCAACACAAUGACCAGAACAUUGCUGCUAAUGUGAACACACAAGUAAUUAGAAAUCCAAGUAAGAAAUCUUAAAGUAUAUUAUUGUGCUGUGUACCUUAAAUGAGGGAUGUAAAAUGAAAUAAGUUUUUAAAAUGUCUCCUAAAACUCCUGUACUGCUGGAUAUAAAUAGAGAUAGGAUGACUUGGCAUAACUUCACUAGUUUGCUGAUGAAAUUGAACUGAGCACAGAUUGAACCCAGUACUUACUGAUUUUAGUAUCAAGUUAUUUGACCACCUUAAAAAGUAAAAACUUCAAUAAUUGUAUCUACUUCUGAGCAGGGAGAAAGGCCUACUCAAAACUUGUAAACUUCUGGGAGGCUCUGUGCAUGUUUGUAGCAGUUGCAAUGUCACAAUAGCUUCAGGGAAUAUGAGAUGUCUUCUAUUGUUGACAAUAACAGUUUUUCUAUGGUCCCACACUUGUAAUACUUACUUUUAUAUCAUGUUAUCUAAAACCUUGAGUAUGUUAUCAUGAAUUUAAAAGGAGCAUUAUGUGUUUUAGGAAUUGUUGUGGUUUGACCCAGCAGGUGGCUCAGCAGCACAGUCACUUACUCUCCCCCUUCCCAGUGGGAUGGGAUAGGGGAGAGAAUUGG